AAAACGGCCCUUUUAAGGGCCACCGCACUGCGAUCUAUUCCAUGAUU
rfam:Macrostomum lignano uti_cns_0000233, whole genome shotgun sequence.